rnacentral:tRNA from 2 species
GUUUAGGAGGUGUUAUCACACCAGCUUUUCGUGCUGGAGUAGGAGUUUCGACUCCCCCAAAUA